rnacentral:lncRNA from 1 species
UGCCUACAUUCCACCCAGCCUGACUGCUCUGGAAGGAAGAAUCCCUGCAAGGUGAGUGUUAUUAUAUCCAUUUGUGGACCAGGACUGCGGCUCAGAAGCUUUUCCCAGGACACUGAACUCUGACAGGUGAAUAGCUGCCAAGUGGUGGAGGUUGGCCUGCAGUGAGCAUCAGUCUGACUUCGAAGGUAUUGGCCUGGAGUGAUUCCAAGCUCUCCUGGAACAGGAGGUGCCCCCACUCUGGGCAUAAAUAUCUCUCCCUCAUCCCUCGCAGACAACGAUCUUUGAGUACCAUCCAGUCAUAAUAUAGACAUGGCCAAGGUAACGGAGGUAAACAGAAAACAGGAAAAAUACUAGGCUGUUUGCACUGGAACAUGGUAACCAUGAAAUGAGCAAACAUUUAAUUUUGUUCAUUGAGGUCAACGUGAAAGCUGCUGAAUCUCUUAUAACAACUUUCAGGACACUUGGUGCAUGCCAUUUUGAAACACCUCAAGCUGAGCCUGUUGUUCUGAAAUGUCAGAAUGUUCCAUUCUGGUAAACAUUCAACUUGUAUUGAGUUUUCCCUUUGUGCAGAACCCUGUGAAGUGCAGCUAAAAUGUAUAAGGGGAAUGAAAGAGGAUAAAAUGAAAACUGUGGAAGCCGUGAGUCAGUAGGCAGUGAAAACUAUCCGAGAAGGCUUUCUGCUUUUGGUUGAUUACAGACUGAAUCUAUGACCCAGGGAAAGAAGCCCACCCAUUCUUUGUACGUGUGCCUUAUUUCUGUGGUUCCCUUUUCAAUAUAAGGGGCUGCUGAGACAGUAAUUUUUACAUGUGGAGUAAGGUAAUCUCAGAACAUUCCUGUGUGAGUUUGAGGCAGCUUUGAAUCCUGGUUCCACUGCUAUUACCUCUGCAGCUUUGGGCAGGUUACUUAAUCUCUGUGAUCCUGAGUUUCACAUCUGUAAAUUGGGGGUAAUAAAAGUAUCUAUUUAGGGGUUUAUUGUAAGGACUACAAAGGAAUUAUGAAUCUAAAUUGCUUAGUGCAGCCUGGUCCAAAAAUGUUCAAUGAAUGUUAAGCUAUUAUUAUGGAAAAUUAAGUCGACUCUGGAAAAAUCAAUGAUUUAGGAUUCUUUAGUUUGCUAGUUUUGAAAAUGGCUCAAUCUAGCACAAGCAAGACGGUAUGAGCAUUCUAACACAUAAUAAAUGGAAAGCUGAG